CCUACGGGAGGCAGCAGUGGGGAAUAUUGCACAAUGGGCGAAAGCCUGAUGCAGCGACGCCGCGUGAGGGAUGACGGCCUUCGGGUUGUAAACCUCUUUCAGCAGGGAAGAAGCGAAAGUGACGGUACCUGCAGAAGAAGCGCCGGCUAACUACGUGCCAGCAGCCGCGGUAAUACGUAGGGCGCAAGCGUUGUCCGGAAUUAUUGGGCGUAAAGAGCUCGUAGGCGGCUUGUCACGUCGGUUGUGAAAGCCCGGGGCUUAACCCCGGGUCUGCAGUCGAUACGGGCAGGCUAGAGUGUGGUAGGGGAGAUCGGAAUUCCUGGUGUAGCGGUGAAAUGCGCAGAUAUCAGGAGGAGCACCGGUGGCGAAGGCGGAUCUCUGGGCCAUUACUGACGCUGAGGAGCGAAAGCGUGGGGAGCGAACAGGAUUAGAUACCCUGGUAGUCCACGCCGUAAACGGUGGGAACUAGGUGUUGGCGACAUUCCACGUCGUCGGUGCCGCAGCUAACGCAUUAAGUUCCCCGCCUGGGGAGUACGGCCGCAAGGCAAAACGUCAAAUGAAUUGACGGCUGAGAGUGCGAGGCGACGACGAGGAGAGG
rnacentral:rRNA from 1 species